UACGGGGGGAGCAAGCGUUGUUCGGAUUUACUGGGCGUAAAGGGCGCGUAGGCGGCGCAACAAGUCACUUGUGAAAUCUCCGGGCUUAACCCGGAGCGGCCAAGUGAUACUGUCGUGCUAGAGUGCGGAAGGGGCUACUGGAAUUCUCGGUGUAGCGGUGAAAUGCGUAGAUAUCCAGAGGAACACCUGCGGCGAAGGCGGGUAGCUGGGCCGACACUGACGCUGAGGCGCGAAAGCCAGGGGAGCGAACGGG
rnacentral:rRNA from 1 species